rnacentral:rRNA from 1 species
GAUCCUGGCUCAGGAUGAACGCUGGCGGCGUGCUUAACACAUGCAAGUCGAACGAAGACAUCUGAGUGCUUGCACUUGGAUGGACUGAGUGGCGGACGGGUGAGUAACGCGUGGGUAACCUGCCCUGUACAGGGGGACAACAGCCGGAAACAGCUGCUAAUACCCCAUAAGCGCACGGUAUCGCAUGAUACAGUGUGAAAAGCCGAGACGGUACAGGAUGGACCCGCGUCUGAUUAGAUAGUUGGUGGGGUAACGGCCUACCAAGUCAGCGAUCAGUAGCCGGCCUGAGAGGGUGAACGGCCACAUUGGGACUGAGACACGGCCCAGACUCCUACGGGAGGCAGCAGUGGGGGAUAUUGCACAAUGGGGGAAACCCUGAUGCAGCGACGCCGCGUGGAGGAAGAAGGUCUUCGGAUUGUAAACUCCUGUUGUUGAGGAAGAUAAUGACGGUACUCAACAAGGAAGUGACGGCUAACUACGUG